GAUACAUGCAUGAAGGAGAAAGACGUCGCUGUGGACUGCAUCUCUAGAAAGUCAUGUGCUUUUUGACAUCUGAGGACAAAAGUGAGAUCAGCGCUAAGAAACUCAACUACUCUUCUAAGCAUAUCCAUGAGGCAUUUCCUGCAGUUCUCCCUCUCUCUGCAGCAUCCCCACGGUGGAAAGGAAGAUAAAUGAGCUUGUGGGUUCCUUGAUUCUUAGGUGUAGGAGUUGCAGCGAUCAGGGUUGCACACCUUAACAUCAGUUGCCUUCUGAAUCUUGGCCUACUAUAUACUUUUGCAACAGUCUCCAUAUGCUGCAAAACGAGGCUAUUUUAAAAUCAGGUAAGAGCUGUACUUUUUGGUGAGCACAAGGAUAAAUAUUUAGAAUGCAGUGAGAAGCUAUAAUGCCUUAAGAAACCAUUAUAUAAUAAACCUACUUUUAUCAGU
rnacentral:lncRNA from 1 species